rnacentral:rRNA from 1 species
CCCUUAGAUGUUCUGGGCCGCACGCGCGCUACACUGACAGAGCCAACGAGUUCUUCACCUUGGCCGGAAGGUCUGGGUAAUCUUGUUAAACUCUGUCGUGCUGGGGAUAGAGCAUUGCAAUUAUUGCUCUUCAACGAGGAAUGCCUAGUAAGCGCGUGUCGUCAGCACGCGUUGAUUACGUCCCUGCCCUUUGUACACACCGCCCGUCGCUACUACCGAUUGAAUGGCUCAGUGAGGCCUUCGGACUGGCUCAGGGAGGUUGGCAACGACCACCCCGAGCCGGAAAGUUCGUCAAACUCGGUCAUUUAGAGGAAGUAAAAGUCGUAACA